rnacentral:rRNA from 1 species
CGGAGAUAGCUGGUUCUCCGCGAAAACUAUUUAGGUAGUGCGUUACGUAUCACCAACGGGGGUAGAGCACUGGAUGGGCUAGGGGGGAGCUAAUCCUUACCAAACCUUACCAAACUCCGAAUACCGUUGAGUGCAGCGUAGCAGACAGACAUUGGGUGCUAAGGUCCAAUGUCGAGAGGGAAAGAGCCCAGACCGCCAGUUAAGGUCCCAAAAUAAUGACUAAGUGGAAAAGGAUGUGAAGUAACCAAAACAACCAGGAGGUUGGCUUAGAAGCAGCCACCCUUUAAAGAUAGCGUAACAGCUCACUGGUCUAAUAGUUAUUUUGCGCCGAAGAUGUAACGGGGCUAAAGUCAUUUACCGAAACUGCGGGUGCAUAUUUAUAUGCGCGGUAGCGGAGCGUUCCGUAAGCCGAUGAAGAGUGUUUGUGAGAACAUUUGGAGGUAUCGGAAGUGAGAAUGCUGACACGAGUAGCGACAAACAGUGUGAGAGACACUGUCGCCGAAAAUCUAAGGUUUCCUGCGUAAAGCUAAUCUGCGCAGGGUUAGUCGGCCCCUAAGACGAGGGCGAAAGCCGUAGUCGAUGGGAAUCAGGUUAAUAUUCCUGAACCUGCUAGAAGUGACGAAUACUGUAAAUUGUUUAAUCUUAUUGGAUUGAUUAAGCAAUGAAGGUGUUCCUGGAAAUAACUCUAGCUUAUAGACCGUACCCUAAACCAACACAGGUAGAUUGGUAGAGUAUACCUAGGCGCUUGAGAGAACGAUGAUGAAGGAACUCGGCAAAUUACCCUCGUAACUUCGGGAGAAGAGGGCCCUAUUUGUGGGCAACCAUAAAUAGGGGGCACAAACCAGGGGGUGGCGACUGUUUACUAAAAACACAGGGCUCUGCAAACUCGUAAGAGGAAGUAUAGGGUCUGACGCCUGCCCGGUGCCGGAAGGUUAAGAGGAGGAGUGCAAGCUCUGAAUUGAAGCCCCGGUAAACGGCGGCCGUAACUAUAACGGUCCUAAGGUAGCGAAAUUCCUUGUCGGGUAAGUUCCGACCCGCACGAAUGGCGUAACGACUUCCCCACUGUCUCCAUCAUCGACUCAGCGAAACUGAAUUCUCCGUGAAGAUGCGGAGUACGCGUGGUCAGACGGAAAGACCCCGUGCACCUUUACUACAACUUUGCAGUGAUAUUAGAGAUUAAAUGUGUAGGAUAGGCGGGAGCCUUUGAAGUGUUAGCGCCAGCUAGCAUGGAGGCAACCUUGAAAUACCGCCCUUUUGAUCUUUGAUAUCUAACCGAGGUCCGUUAUCCGGAUCCGAGACCCUGCAUGGUGGGUAGUUUGACUGGGGCGGUCGCCUCCCAAA